GAGGAUGAGCCAGCAGCUGCAGGCGGGGAAGAUGUCGGCGGCUCCCCUCGCGCCGCAGGCUCCGGACUCGGCGGCGGCGGGGAUGCUCGAGGGCCGCCAGAGGAAGCUGGAGUCUAUGAUCCGCGAUCCGCGCUCCCCCGUCAACGUGGAGAGCCUGCUGGAUGGCUUGAAUUCUUUGGUCCUUGAUCUGGAUUAUCCGGCGCUGAGGAAGAACAAGAACAUUGAUAAUUUCCUAAAUAGAUAUGAGAAGAUUGUGGAAAAAAUACGAGCUUUACAAAUGAAAGCUGAAGACUAUGAUGUUGUUAAGGUGAUUGGAAGAGGGGCUUUUGGAGAAGUGCAGCUGGUUCGCCAUAAAAUGACACAGAAGGUUUAUGCAAUGAAGCUGCUUAGUAAAUUUGAAAUGAUCAAGAGAUCAGAUUCAGCCUUUUUCUGGGAAGAAAGAGAUAUCAUGGCCUUUGCCAAUAGUCCAUGGGUGGUUCAGCUUUUUUGUGCCUUUCAAGAUGACAAAUACUUGUACAUGGUAAUGGAAUACAUGCCAGGAGGAGAUCUUGUAAACCUUAUGAGCAAUUAUGAUGUGCCUGAGAAAUGGGCCAAGUUCUAUACAGCCGAAGUUGUUCUUGCUCUUGAUGCGAUUCACUCCAUGGGCUUGAUACACAGAGAUGUGAAGCCUGACAAUAUGCUAUUAGAUAAACAUGGGCACCUGAAGCUGGCAGAUUUUGGCACUUGCAUGAAAAUGGAUGAAACAGGUAUGGUGCGCUGUGACACGGCUGUUGGAACCCCCGACUACAUAUCCCCUGAAGUUCUGAAAUCACAAGGGGGUGAUGGUUAUUAUGGACGGGAGUGUGACUGGUGGUCUGUAGGAGUUUUCCUUUUUGAGAUGCUGGUUGGUGAUACUCCUUUUUAUGCAGACUCCUUAGUAGGGACAUACAGUAAAAUUAUGGAUCACAAGAACUCAUUACAUUUCCCGGAUGAUGUAGAAAUCUCUAAGCAUGCAAAGAACCUCAUCUGUGCCUUCUUAACUGACAGGGACGUGCGACUUGGGAGGAAUGGGGUAGAAGAAAUAAAGCAUCACCCUUUCUUUAAGAGUGACCAGUGGAACUGGGACAACAUCCGAGAGACUGCUGCUCCUGUUGUUCCUGAGCUUAGUAGUGAUAUAGACAGCAGUAAUUUUGAUGACAUUGAGGAUGACAAAGGAGAUGUGGAAACCUUUCCAAUCCCCAAAGCCUUUGUGGGAAACCAGCUGCCUUUUAUAGGAUUUACCUACUAUAGAGAUAAUUUGUUGCUAAGUGACUCCUCUCAGUCUUGCAGAGAAAAUGAAUCGGUGCAAUCUAGUAAAAAUGAGUUUCAGAAAAAACUAAGCAAGUUAGAAGAACAACUCAGUAAUGAAUUGCAAGCCAAAGAUGAACUAGAACAGAAAUACAGAUCUGCUAAUACUCGUUUAGAGAAGAUAGUGAAAGAGCUAGAUGAAGAGAUAACUUCAAGGAAAAAUGUAGAGUCUGCAGUCAGACAACUAGAAAGGGAGAAGGCUCUUCUUCAGCAUAAGAAUACAGAAUACCAGAGAAAAGCAGAACAUGAAGCAGAUAAGAAACGCAAUUUGGAAAACGAGGUUAACAGUUUGAAAGAUCAGCUUGAAGAUUUAAAAAAGAGGAAUCAGAACUCUCAAAUAUCCAAUGAGAAAAUCAAUCAACUACAAAGACAGUUGGAUGAGGCCAAUUCUUUGCUGCGGUCGGAGUCUGAAACUGCAGCCAGGCUAAGGAAGAACCAGACUGAAAGUACAAAGCAAAUCCAGCAGUUGGAAGCUAAUAAUCGAGAACUACAGGAUAAGAACUGCCUGCUAGAGAAUGCUAAACUCAAACUGGAGAAGGACUUUCUCAAUCUUCAGUCUGCUCUAGAAUCAGAAAGGAGAGAUCGAAGUCAUGGAUCAGAGAUUAUCAGUGAUUUACAAGGUCGAAUAUCGAGCCUGGAAGAAGAAGUGAAAAAUGGAAAGAGUGCAUUAGCCAAACUAGAAAUGGAGAAAAGGCAAUUGCAGGAAAAACUUACAGAUUUAGAAAAGGAAAAGAGCAACAUGGAAAUAGAUAUGACAUACAAAUUCAAAGUUAUGCAGCAGAACCUUGAGCAAGAGGAAGCUGAACAUAAAGCCACAAAAGCACGACUGGCAGACAAAAAUAAGAUUUAUGAAUCUAUAGAGGAGGCAAAAUCUGAAGCCAUGAAAGAAAUGGAGAAGAAACUUUUGGAAGAGAGAGCUUUGAAGCAAAAAGUGGAAAAUCGGUUGUUAGAGGCUGAAAAGCAGCGCUCCAUGUUGGAUUGUGAUCUCAAACAAUCACAGCAGAAAAUAAAUGAACUCCUUAGGCAAAAGGAUAAACUAAAUGAAGAUGUUAAAAACCUGACUUUAAAAAUAGAGCAAGAAACACAAAAGCGUUGUCUCACUCAAAAUGACCUCAAGAUGCAAACACAACAGGUCAACACCUUAAAAAUGUCAGAGAAGCAGCUAAAACAGGAGAAUAACCAUCUUCAGGAAAUCAAAUUAAGUCUGGAGAAACAAAAUAAUGAACUCCGCAAGGAACGUCAAGAUGCAGAUGGACAAAUGAAAGAGCUUCAAGACCAACUUGAAGCUGAGCAGUAUUUCUCAACCCUGUAUAAGACACAAGUUCGAGAACUUAAAGAAGAAUGUGAGGAAAAGACCAAACUUUGUAAAGAGAUGCAGCAAAAGAUACAAGAGUUACAGGAUGAGAGAGAUUCCUUGGCAGCACAGCUAGAAAUCACUUUGACAAAAGCAGAUUCAGAACAACUUGCACGUUCCAUUGCUGAAGAACAGUACUCUGAUUUGGAAAAAGAGAAGAUUAUGAAAGAACUGGAGAUUAAAGAAAUGAUGGCUCGGCAUAAACAGGAGCUUACUGAGAAGGAUGCCACCAUAGCCUCUUUGGAGGAAGCAAAUAGAACACUUACAAGCGACGUGGCUAAUCUUGCUAAUGAGAAAGAAGAACUAAACAAUAAACUGAAGGAGGAACAAGAACAAAUUGCGAAGUUAAAAGAAGAAGAAGCAAAUAUAGGAAAUAUUAAAGCACAGUUUGAAAAACAACUGUUGAAUGAAAGAACACUGAAAACCCAGGCUGUGAAUAAAUUGGCUGAGAUCAUGAAUCGGAAGGGUCCAGUCAAACGUGGAGCUGACACCGAUGUACGGCGGAAGGAGAAGGAAAAUAGGAAACUGCAUAUGGAACUGAAAUCUGAACGAGAGAAGUUAACACAAAUGAUGAUCAAGUAUCAGAAAGAAAUCAAUGAAAUGCAGGCACAAAUAGCAGAAGAGAGUCAGAUACGAAUUGAGCUCCAGAUGACUCUGGACAGCAAAGACAGUGACAUUGAACAGCUUCGGUCACAACUACAGUCAUUACACAUUGGUCUAGACAACAGCAGCAUAGGCAGCGGGCCUGGAGAUGCUGAGGCAGACGAUGGAUUCCCUGAAUCAAGAUUGGAAGGCUGGUUAUCGCUACCUGUUCGAAAUAACACUAAAAAAUUUGGUUGGGUUAAAAAGUAUGUAAUUGUAAGCAGUAAGAAGAUCCUGUUCUACGACAGCGAACAAGAUAAAGAGCAAUCCAAUCCCUAUAUGGUAUUAGACAUAGACAAACUAUUCCAUGUCCGACCAGUCACCCAAACUGAUGUGUACAGAGCAGAUGCCAAGGAAAUUCCAAGGAUAUUCCAGAUUCUAUAUGCUAACGAAGGAGAGAGCAAAAAGGAGCAGGAAUUUCCUGUGGAGCCUAUGGGAGAGAAGUCAAAUUAUAUUUGUCACAAAGGACAUGAGUUUAUACCUACUCUUUAUCACUUUCCAACCAAUUGUGAAGCUUGUAUGAAGCCUCUUUGGCAUAUGUUUAAACCUCCUCCUGCUCUGGAAUGUCGCCGUUGCCAUAUCAAAUGUCACAAAGAUCAUAUGGAUAAAAAAGAAGAGAUUAUAGCACCUUGCAAAGUGUAUUAUGAUAUUUCAACGGCGAAGAAUCUACUACUGUUAGCUAAUUCUACAGAAGAACAGCAAAAAUGGGUGAGCCGACUGGUGAAAAAAAUACCCAAGAAACCUCCAGCACCAGACCCCUUUGCUAGAUCUUCUCCCAGAACUUCUAUGAAGGUACAGCCAAACCAGUCCAUCAGACGACCAAGUCGACAGCUUCCUCCAAACAAACCAAGCUAACUGCUUUCCAUGAACGCAGGCGCAACUCAAGGUGAUAAUUUUCUUCCUGUUACAGCAAGACUGAAACAUAUCCCAAAAUAUAUUAAAAAUAUAUAUUUUCCUGAGAGAUUGUGCUAUAUAUAUCAGAGGUUUACAUUUUUGCUGCAAUAUAAAUUACUAAUCUCUGAGGGUUUUCCUGUAUUCCCCCGAGUGACUGAUCAAACGAGGAAUGGCUGGUAAAUAGCAAAAGGAUAUGUUAGGUCACCUUUCAAAUUCUGUUCCACAAAAGCUUUCUCGGCAAGACACAUACACUACAUUUCAUAAAAGGAUUGAGAGGAAUGAGUAUUUAAACUGAAGAAAGUGACUUCUCAGCUUUCAUGAAGAUGCCACCAGCAUGCCUGCGAGAACAGGAGGACGAUCCAUCGUAGUGAUAUAGACUGCAUCUGUAAGAAGUGACCAUUAUACUGUGUAUAUAUAUUGUACUGUAAUACUGCAAGAGGGUUUUAAAAAUCUUUCCACUUUAUUUUUUUAUGCUUAUUAAUCAGAUACCGUUACUUAUUGCAGUUGCAACUAUGCACUUGUAUAAAGCCAUAAUGUUGAAGUUUAUAUCAUUCAUACAUGUCUAUCAAAAGCUGCAUGUCAGUGUUCAGCAGCUAGUUCAAAGUAUAUGCUAGUUUCAGCUGCGUCAUCAUGGGCAGUCCUGUUUUACCUGUCUAAUUGCCUUAAUUUAAUUUUUUUUUCGAGUUUUUUUUGGCCCAUUCUCUGUAUUUAAGGAAAAAAAGGUUUACCAGCUCUUAGGAUGCAAUUUUGCUUUGUGGCAGAAAAAAUAGUGCACUAUUUUUACACCUAGUAGGUAUAUCAAUGUCAACUUACUUUGAAUGUAUAUCGACUGGUUUUGAGGGUGGAGAAGUGUUGGUUACAAAAACAAUGUCUGAUAAGAAUGGACUUACUAGACCACGUGUUUAUACAUGUAACUGCUCAUCCAGCCCUUCUUACAAACCUCAAUAUAGUUAUUGACUUAUAUUAACCCUCAUUAAGUGCUAUGAAAACUUCAUUUUGCCUUGUUUUUGCAUACUCUCCUAGAUGUGUGUUUAUUUCUGGAAGAAAAAAAAAAAAGAGAAUCUGUGAUUAUUUUUUACAUUUCACAACACAACACCCAAGAAGUGUCACAGACUUUAAAGAAAACUAAUACAUACUGUAGAUGUAUUUUAAAGUUUUAAAUCUGGUUCUCUAGCACAUAGCUGUAGGCAUAGAUAAAUAUUCCAGUAGUGUGUUUUGAGAACUGAUAGCUGGGAAUAAAGGGCCUCAGAGGCACUUAAUUGGAUUUUUUUUUUUUUUUUUUUACUUGGGAGUUGUACAAAAAAUAGAGUUUAUGUGGACUCAUUCAUGAUGCGUUCAUCAUUAUCCCAGAAAAUGCAUGUUUUAUACAACUGCAGUAUGCUAUGUUCAACAUAUUGACAGUAAAAAAUGUAGUCUCCUAUUUGGUCUCUUUAUAUAUAUAAAUAUAUAUAUAUAUUUAAAAUAUAUAUAUAUAUAUAAACUAUUGUGUGGGAGUGCAGUAAUUUAAAAUAUGAUCUAACACUUCAAUGAAGGAGGACAUUUCACUUUAAAAUUUUGUUUGUUUGUUUUUGUUUUUUUAAAGAGUGUUGAAAUGUUUGGAAGGAUAGGACCAUGAUUUAUUUAACACUAUCAUGAAUGGUGGACUUGGAAACACUGAAAUACUGAAAAUGAAUAAAUAUAUUUGCAUUUUGUAACUGCAGUUCAGCUUAACAGAGCCAGAAUGUAUUCAGUCUUCUAUUUAUGCACUCGCAAAGUAAAACAUUGUUUGUGAGUUCUUAAAUCCAGACCUAAAUCUUUCGUAUCAUUUCUCUUUAGGUAUUUUAACCCAACGCACAGCUACGGUGUUUGUUCCCUGCUUGUUUGGAUUUACAGAAGUACGGUAUAUUUUUAGGUCAAGCAGAUUUGCGUAGAGUACAACAUUAAAAAUGUAUACAGUAAAACUGUUUCCAUUCACUGAAUGCAUAAAUAUUUUAUAUAUAUAAAAAAAUGUUACAUUGUGGGAAGUUCUAUCCUUUUCUGAAUUGGAGAAUAUUAUAUAUAUAUUUUUAAAUAAACUAUUUGAGUAAGGUAAAAUAGUUCCUGAACUUGACAAGCUGGUAAUUAAUUGAAGUAUUGAAACAUACAGGCAACUACUGCAGCAGAUAUGGGGAAGGCAAAGCCAAGCAGAGGCUGUGUGGAGAAGAAGGGCAUGCUCUGUGGAGUUGGUUUGCAGCCCAUCAUGUACCAGGUUGGAUCUGUUGCACUUCCUCUGCAUGUCUUGCCCUCAUCUAUUGUGAAUCCCUACAGCCCUGUCAUGUCUGGUAUUUUAGGAACUGUAUGUCAUACAGUAUUUACUAGCUGCAGUUUAUACAGUCUGUACUUACAGAAAUAGUUACUAGCUACACAUACAGCAGGCUGUAUUGAGAAGGUAUUGUAGAAUGAUAGGGGCUGAAAAGGAGCACAGUUUGCUGGUUGGACCUCUCCCAUAAAGCAAUUCCUCCUUAGAAGGGGGACCUCGAGACCUGGUCUCUUUGGGUUUCCAGUGCCUCUAGGGAUGAAAGUACUGUAGCAUUCCUCAGCUCUCCUACAUGCAGUUGUGUCCCAAAAGAAACAAACAUGUGGGUAAUGUUGAGCUGUAACGUGGAGGUCAUUUGGCCAAUAGUAUGAUGUGAACAGCCUUUGUUUUGUACCCAGGACAGAAAAGCCAGAGCAGUUCUUCUGUCCCUCUUGCGUGUCAGAGCUUUCAUGUGCUGAUCUGUGGAUUGAAAGGACCCCAUUAAUAUUAGUUCCUGGGGGUUGCAGUGUCUCCCUAUUGUCUGGUAUUUAAAACUGAGAGAAGAAUAUCAGGGACUGGAUGUUUCAUAUGCUUUAUUUUUGUAACAGGGCUGUUGCAGCAAACAGAACGUUUUUAUGGCCUGGCUGAUUUUAUCUAAAAAAAUUAUCUUAUUGCAAGUCCUGUUGUUUCACAAGAGUAUACAGACACAGCCAAGUAUACAGCCAAGCUGCAGAUUAACCUUCUGCAAAAAUCAGGGCUCAAACUGGGAGCCAGAAGCUCAAGACAUGUACAGACAAGUUGCUGUUGGUUUCCAUCCAGGAGUUCAUCAGCACAGAAGCUGGACGAGAAGCCCCCAUCUGAGCAGCAUGUCAGCUGACACAACGGCCUUCCUGAAAGUAGAUUUCCAUGACUGUGCUGGUUGUGUGCUGCACUUCCAUAGUUCCAGUGGCUCCUGCCAAAGCUCAGCCCCUUACAGCGAUGCUGGAUGGAGCACCAAGCAUGCGUGCAAAAGAACUCAGAACUUCCUGCACUUCUUAGCGUGGCUGAUGCUGAAUCUAAAACAUGAUACAGACCGCACUUCUUCCAAGGAUUUGGAAGCGCAGAAGCUGAAGUACUUUGACAGUCAGCAAAUGUAAAGAGUCACUGAUGUUUCACUGCAAGUGUCUGGAUCUUUUAGCACCUCUUGAAGAUGCUGGAUGCUUGGCAGGCACUCAGCAGCUCUCUUGGGUCACUGUGGCCAGCAAGCUUUCUGCUGGACACAGCGUGCUUUCUGUGUUCAGUUUCUCAGGAAGUUCUGGAUGUUCAUUAGGAGCGUGAGCAUUUGUAAUAUAAUCUUGCAGUGACACUGUAAGCUGCUUCAGGGAUCAUCAGUGUCCCGUGGACCAUGGGGGUUUGCAUACUGCUUUGAAAUAUCUCUCACAAGAGUGGGAAGGAGUUUUCAUUUGAAUCUGUUUAAAAGAUGUUGACAGAGCAGUUCUGAAACUAAUUCAUGCUCUUAGUUACAGUUGCCUGUGAAGCAGGUGAUAUACUCAGACAUGCUCACAUGAGCCUACUGAGAUGUAUGUGGCAGAACACUGUCUGAACACUGCUGGUGUAGUUUGUUCCAGAACUGUUGCAAUGAAUGAGAGAGCUCCCUGUAGCUCCAAGAUGCCUGUGAGGACUAAGCCUUACUACAAAGUUUGGGAUUUAGAAUCUUUACCCCUUUGUAGGCAGGAAGUAGUGUUCAAUCAGGGUAAGAAAGGCAUGUUACUUCCUGAUACUUGCUAUUGCAACCACGCUGCAAGAUUUGAUCAGUAGUGCUCUUGCUCCACUGAUCUUACAGAAACCAUGAGAUUAAAGUGAUCUUUCAAAAUGAAAGACACGUUGAAUGCACUGCUGCAUGAGGGAGCAAAAUUAUGAAGUCUUGAGUGUAUGCAAUCCUGCAUACCUAAAGAACACUGGAAGGAUGUAUCUUCACCCUGAAAAGAAAGGGCAGAGAGCAGCAAUUCUGUGUCCCUGUGGCCUUUUUUAGGUUGCUGGGAGGAACGACAGAAUUGCCUUCUCACACCUUGGUAGAAUCUGUAGUCACUCAAAAGUGAAAGAGGGUAACAAAAAAUGUUUUGCAUAAGCUCAGUUUAUGCUUCAAUACAGUCUUGACACAGGGCACUGAGGCAUAGAACGCAUGCUCUUCUAUUUACACCUCCAGUAUGGUGUGAGACAGGUCAGCACUUUGGUACUGCUGACUGAAGCCUCCAAAAGCAGAAAUAGUCAACGUCCCAAAGAGAGCACGUGCACUGAAGAUUUCCAGUUACAACAAGGUGCUACUGCCUUUAAUCCAGCUACUUGAGAAGAUUAUGGUUUACAGAUAGAAGGCCGCAGGAUCUAUGCUUGUAUGGGGCUUGCCCAAGACUUGAACACAAUUCUCUACUUUACAAAAAGAAAUGAAAUUAUUCUUUGGGAGCAAAAAAAAGAGAGAGAAAAGUACAUACAACUACCACCACCACCUUCUGACUUGUUCAUAUCCCACACGGCUUGAGAAUUCAUGCUCCAGCUUUCCAAGUCCAUAGAAUUACUCUACUUAAGCUCAUCAUUUACCCAACUGUUUCUUUCCUUUGUUUCCCACAAGUUUCCAAGAUUUAUCCUCCAUACAUCAACUAUCUUUUGAAGAACUUACCUUAAAUGCAUUUCCAAGAUGUUAUGAUGGAAAAACAAGUGAAGUGCUGAUGAUCAAACCAGAAGUGGUCUCAAUUUUCCUACAGAGUCACUGAGGAGGUUGAAAGACACCAAUAACAGAGUUCUGAGUCCAAAAAGAGCACUGUCUAUUAAAACAGAUUAAAAAACAGA